ACGCUGGCGGCAUGCCUAACACAUGCAAGUCGAACGAGACCUUCGGGUCUAGUGGCGCACGGGGUGCGUAACGCGUGGAACCUGCCUUUAGGUUCGGAAUAACUCAGAGAAAUUUGAGCUAAUACCGGAUAAUGUCUUCGGACCAAAGAUUUAUCGCCUUUAGACGGGCCCGCGUUGGAUUAGCUAGUUGGUGGGUAAAGGCCUACCAAGGCGACGAUCCAUAGCUGGUCUGAGAGGAUGAUCAGCCACACUGGGACUGAGACACGGCCCAGACUCCUACGGGAGGCAGCAGUGGGGAAUAUUGGACAAUGGGCGAAAGCCUGAUCCAGCAAUGCCGCGUGAGUGAUGAAGGCCUUAGGGUUGUAAAGCUCUUUUACCCGAGAUGAUAAUGACAGUAUCGGGAGAAUAAGCUCCGGCUAACUCCGUG
rnacentral:rRNA from 1 species